GGUUCAUGCAAAAAAAAUAUUCCAACAACCUUUUCGUUGUAGGAGGUUGAGUUUUCAAAAUAGCUGUUUUCCUUUCAGGAUUCCAAGAAUCAUUUUUGCUUGUCUUGAAUGAUGGUGAGAGCUCUCUCAAUUUAAAUAUCACUGUUCGUCCUGCAAAUGAAACCCUGGAGAACAUUGUAAUUCCUGCACACAAAGUCGAGAAGGUAAAUAUAACGUCAAAUAUGCAGGGAAUUUCCUCAAUUUCAGUAAAUGCUGGGAAUGGGGUUUGCACAAUACAGUUAGGGGCUUCAUUACCACAAACUCAUCAUACCACAUAUUUGACACCAGUCAAUGGGACAUAUAUGCUCUUUGUGAUAGUUUUGUUUAUCGGAGGUACGUGGACCUGCUUCAAGUUGGUAAAAAGAAAACGACAUCUUGAUGGAGUUCCAUAUCAGGAACUUGAAAUGGGGAAUCAAGAAUCCAGUUUUUCCUUAAAUGUAGAGACAGCAGAAGGUUGGGAUGAAAGUUGGGAGGAUGAAUGGGACGAAGAGAAGGCAGCGUAAGUCCCCCAGAAGAAAAUCAUUUUUCAAAUCGACAUGGGAACUGAUGAAGAUAAUCGGUGAAGAAGAGAGAUCUCCUUCAAUCAUUUUGAGGCUAUAGGUAGAAACAGACAAGUAAAUUAGUUAUAAGCUAGACGAGAAAAUCACAAUUUCAUGUUGUAGUGUAAUACGUUCUUGUGCCGUUGUGCAAAACAUGCUGCUUGGAAUCUGAGUAUCGGCUCAAGAAAAAUUUUCCUUUCUAGUCUGGGAAAUACAUUCAAAACUAUAGAAUUUGACUGCAAAUCAAAAUUAAAAUAUAUAAUCUUUUGAAUUCAAUUGAAAAAUAACAUGGUUGGA